UGGGGAAUAUUGCACAAUGGGGGAAACCCUGAUGCAGCAACGCCGCGUGAGUGAUGACGGUCUUCGGAUUGUAAAGCUCUGUCUUCAGGGACGAUAAUGACGGUACCUGAGGAGGAAGCCACGGCUAACUACGUGCCAGCAGCCGCGGUAAUACGUAGGUGGCAAGCGUUGUCCGGAUUUACUGGGCGUAAAGGGAGCGUAGGUGGAUAUUUAAGUGGGAUGUGAAAUACUCGGGCUUAACCUGGGUGCUGCAUUCCAAACUGAAUAUCUAGAGUGCAGGAGAGGAAAGUAGAAUUCCUAGUGUAGCGGUGAAAUGCGUAGAGAUUAGGAAGAAUACCAGUGGCGAAGGCGACUUUCUGGACUGUAACUGACACUGAGGCUCGAAAGCGUGGGGAGCAAACAGGAUUAGAUACCUGGUAGUCCACGCCGUAAACGAUGAAUACUAGGUGUAGGGGUUGUCAUGACCUCUGUGCCGCCGCU
rnacentral:rRNA from 1 species